rnacentral:rRNA from 1 species
GAUGAACGCUGGCGGCGUGCCUAAUACAUGCAAGUCGAGCGAACAGACGAGGAGCUUGCUCCUCUGACGUUAGCGGCGGACGGGUGAGUAACACGUGGAUAACCUACCUAUAAGACUGGGAUAACUUCGGGAAACCGGAGCUAAUACCGGAUAAUAUAUUGAACCGCAUGGUUCAAUAGUGAAAGACGGUUUUGCUGUCACUUAUAGAUGGAUCCGCGCCGCAUUAGCUAGUUGGUAAGGUAACGGCUUACCAAGGCAACGAUGCGUAGCCGACCUGAGGGGGUGAUCGGCCACACUGGAACUGAGACACGGUCCAGGCUCCUACGGGAGGCAGCAGUAGGGAAUCUUCCGCAAUGGGCGAAAGCCUGACGGAGCAACGCCGCGUGAGUGAUGAAGGUCUUCGGAUCGUAAAACUCUGUUAUUAGGGAAGAACAAAUGUGUAAGUAACUAUGCACGUCUUGACGGUACCUAAUCAGAAAGCCACGGCUAACUACGUG